rnacentral:rRNA from 1 species
CAGUAGCCGCGGUAACACGGAGGGCGCGAGCGUUACCCGGAUUUACUGGGCGUAAAGGGCGUGUAGGCGGCCUGGGGCGUCCCAUGUGAAAGGCCACGGCUCAACCGUGGAGGAGCGUGGGAUACGCUCAGGCUAGAGGGUGGAGAGGGUGGUGGAAUUCCCGGAGUAGCGGUGAAAUGCGCAGAUACCGGGAGGAACGCCGAUGGCGAAGGCAGCCACCUGGUCCACUUCUGACGCUGAGGCGCGAAAGCAUGGGGAGCAAACCGGAUUAGAUACCCGCGUAGUCCCUGUCUCUUAUACA